CGUCUGAGAAGUGAGGAGACCCUCUGCCUGGCAACCACCCCGUCUGAGAAGUGAGGAGCCCCUCCGCCCGGCAGCCACUCCAUCUGGGAAGUGAGGAGCGUCUCCGCCCGGCAGCCACCCCGUCCGGGAGGGAGGUGGGGGGGGGGUCAGCCCCCCGCCCGGCCAGCCGCCCCAUCCGGGAGGGAGGUGGGGGGGUCAGCCCCCCGCCCGGCCAGCCGCGCCGUCCGGGAGGGAGGUGGGGGGGUCAGCCCCCCGCCUGGCCAGCCGUGCCGUCCGGGAGGAAGUGGGGGGGUCAGCCCUCCGCCCGGCCAGUCGCCCCGUCUGGGAGGUGAGGGGCGCCUCUGCCCGGCCGCCCCUACUGGGAAGUGAGGAGCCCCUCUGCCCGGCCAGCCGCCCCGUCCGGGAGGGAGGUUGGGGGGUCAGCCCCCCGCCCGGCCAGCCGCCCCGUCCGGGAGGUGAGGGGCGCCUCUGCCCCGCCGCCCCUCCUGGGAAGUGAGGAACCCCUCUGCCGGGCCACCACCCCGUCUGGGAGGUGUGCCCAACAGCUCAUUGAGAACGGGCCAGGAUGACAAUGGUGGCUUUGUGGAAUAGAAAGGCGGGAAAGGUGGGGAAAAGAUUGAGAAAUCGGAUGGUUGCCGUGUCUGUGU
rnacentral:lncRNA from 1 species